rnacentral:piRNA from 1 species
UGACAGGACAAUGCUGUGAGGGGU